rnacentral:snRNA from 1 species
CCAAAAUGGAUAUAUAACUUAGU